GUUUUAAGAAAAAUCUCUCACUUUCUCUUUCUCCCAAUUAUAAUAAGAAAACUUUCUUUCUUCCUUGUUUUUUUUUUAAAAAAUAAUAUUAUAAUUUAGUAUAUGGUUGAAGAUAUUUGAUAUAUGUCACUCAUGUUUCAUCAUCAGCCUAGUGUUAGAAGUCACUUCCUUUAACAAGAUUUUAUUGAAAAAAUAAAUAAAAUUGAACUCCAAAAAAAAAAG
rnacentral:misc_RNA from 1 species